UCUAAUUUUCAAACAUUUUUCUCUUAUUCACUGUGAUUUACAACUCUAUACAAGUUUCCUAUCCAAAUACUGCUUUUGAUCUUUUUUAAAUUUUGAUACAACACCUUCUUGGUGAACUAAGGACUUCCGAUUAACAAGUUUCCAACAUCUCUUUUAAAAAUGAGUGAGGAAAUGCAAAACCGUGGCAGGAACAGGAAGAGGAAACGGUCCUCUCGACAGUCUCGCCGAGCUGUUCAACCAAACAGCGGCUACUACUUGCUGUCUAGCCAAGAUGGACACUCCUCACAGCCACGACCCUCUGUCAGUCACCACACUGAUCUACAGGACCAGUUGAGAGCUGACCCCCUCUUUCUUCUGAGGGAUGAUGUUCUCUUAAGUGAUGAUGAGGACUCAAGAAGGUCCAAGAGGUCCAGGCCAGUUGAGUCUUCCAUGCCAACCAAUGGCAGAAGAUCCCCACAACCAGGGACCUCACGAGACCUCUAUGCCCCUUCAGAAUUGCAACAGAGAGCAAGGUCACCUUCUCCACCAAGGGCAGCCAUACCCAUUAACGCUAUUAGUGAUGGUGAAGAUACUGCACUACCAUCUGUGACAAGGGCAAACACACCUCCAAUCAUGAGUGAUGACAUUGAUGAUCAAGAUGAACUUGAGGAUGUAAUUUUUGUUGGCGUGCUUCGCCCUCCUCAGAUUGAGGUUGAAUUCUACCUGGUGCACCAAUUCGUGAUAAUUUGGGAAACCAACAACCACCUACCCAUGAAUGUCACUUAUGACCUUCCCACCAUGAUCUUCAACCCUGAGAACGCCAAUGGACAGAGUGAUUGUAGGAUCUGUCUGAGUGACUAUGAGGAAGGAGAAGAGUUCACGAUUCUGCCCUGCAACCACAAUUUCCAUAGAAGCUGUGUGAAUCAGUGGCUUCAGCAGAGCCCUACCUGCCCCAUGUGCAGAACACAGAUUCAUUAGAGCACAGCAAACUGAGGGACUAAGAGUUUCAGCCAUGACAACUUCUAUUCUAAUAAAACAUCCUACAUAAUAUCCCAUCACUGCUGUUCUUUUUUAUUCAUGCUAAGUAAUGUUAGUCUAAUGAGAUGUAAACUGGUAAACUACCUAGUUAUUCUGAUAGCUUGGCUGGUGUUGUACAUUGGGUAAUGAUAGUAUUGCGACAACCCCAGAUGAUGUGUCAUGAUUAUUCAUUAAUGUUCCUCUUGUUCUUAAAUUUUGUGUGGAGUUUUGUACCUAGAACACCUAGCAGAGCUUGGCCUGGGUAGCUGGUGGGAACAACUGGUGUUUUUAUCCGCCCAUAUGCCAUCAAAAGGGAUUUGAGGAUAUUAUACAAACUAGUUGCUAAUAAAACCCAACCUCAAAGAUCUGCCUAAUGCUCUGUGAAGGUAUGGAGGCUGGGCUUUGACAGGGCCCUACAACAGGGACUUCAAAUGGUUUAACAUCCCUGUUUAAGGUCAGUGAGUAGAAACUUGGAUCAUAGUUCAUUAAAACCAAGGACAGCCCAUUGAGUUCCAGACAUUUUACCAGCUGGUUGUGAUCAUUAAAUAUACACCAAACUCUAUACCAAACAGAGGGGAUUAAAGACAUAAUGAAAUUGUAAAACUAGAAAGCUGCUAAUACUACUGUUAAAU